CAAAAUUGAUUUUGUUGUCAAUAUAUAUGCACAUAGAAACACAUCUGAAUGCAAACUUUGUUGAUAUAAAAUUCAUGAACAAUGAGGCAUAUAGACACACAUGCAACAACACACACAGAGAAACCCCCCACUAACACACACACACACACACUCUAAUUAAUGUUCGCAGGGAAAGAGUUGACUGUGACUGUGAAGAUUCAGCUUAGUACCUGUCAUCAGACUGUAAGCCAAGACUUUGAGUAGUCCAGAUCUCACUUGUGUGUAAGAGUGCAGAUAGAAUUAUUCCAUUGAAGUGACUAAAAACAGAAUGCAGUCUGAAGACAUAGCACAAGGCUGAACAGAGGUGAGACAUGAUGAAAUCAAGAAGUUAAUAGAGUGCAUCUACUUGGAGCACACAAACAUGGCACUUGAAUAAAGGAUGCUGAAACAUUGCAGAAGAUAAGGGCAGGAUGGAAGGAAUUUACCUUGAUGAACAAUGUACAUACAUAUACACAAUGUGGUGUUACAUGUGGUGUUAUGGGCUGUGAUGAGCUAUGUGCUGUUGGUGGAGAGGGAUCGCGGAUGAAGCAAACGGAAGUGAAGACUGCAGGGGCCAGCGGAAGUCGUCACAGGCGGAUGCGUGGACAGCGAGCACAUAUGGUCAGUUCGAGCAGAGACGGCAUGCGUAGAAGUCAUGGUUUGAUCUGGAGUGAUCGUUUAUCCCGCCACGGUUGACAAGGAAAGACAUUACUACAUUACUUUCCACUUGGCAUUAAAUCUGAACCAUCACUGUGGAUAUUACUUCUUGGCUGGUUCAUUCAAAUAUCAAAAAUAAAUCUAAAGGAAUGGGAUAACAAUCAUCUUUAUUUGAUGUAACAAUAAUCAAUGAUAUAUAAUAAAUUCUUGUUUUGGUAUUA